AGCUUUCUAUGUAACCUAACCUGACAUCCUUGUCCUCCCAGAAGAUCUCUUCUUGGUAGCACUGGGGCAUCAAGACAUGUUUGUGCAACUCACCUGUAGGUCAUUGGAAGAUGAAACCAGUCAAAAAAUUACAACAUGUUAUUUUCUAAAGGACGAUGGUAAGCAUAAGUUUUACUUUCUGUCAAUUGAAUAUUGCAUUUUAUCAUGCUCUUAUUUUCAGCGCUGUCGACAUCUUCAAGGAUGAACAGAUCAAGAACAGACACAUGACUGGGCUGCUCUUGCUUUUUAUAGUUUUCCUCUUGUGAUAUCGGUUCAAGUGACGUGCCUGGCACUGGUCUCGGAGUUUUUGGCUCUUGGUGCUCCAGCAUCUCAAUGACAUUCUCAGGGGAGCCUGGACAAACCUCGGCAUGCUCUUUCCCUGGUUUUGCUCUUUCCAUCAUUUCCUUCAGUGCAGGCAUUAAAAGAACUUAGACUAGUACAUCACCGAAGACUAGAUGCAAUACCAAUAAACAUUGGCUUGAACAAUAACCUACUAGGGGUGAGUUAUAUCUUUGUUGCUCUCCUGGGAUGCAUUGUGCGCUGCCAAUUGUUUCAGAGUGAUUGAUCUGGAUUUUCAGUUUCAUCAAUACAAACAAUAUCAAGUUAAACACCUGCAAGUAUUCGCAUUCUGUUAAAACAAUAUCCAUGCAGUAUUUGAUAAUUUUGUAAUCUGUAGUCACUCACCUUGUUGUGUGUUUUGUUGAUUGUAAUAUCUUUCUUGAUCAGCUUGUUCAAUCGGUGCUUCACUAGUACUGUACCGCAUUCAACACUCCCUGAAUCUUCCUCUGAUCUAUUUCCUUCUUCUGCAGAUUCUUCCCCCCUCAGCCUUGUGCCUGGCACAUAUAUUUUUUCUCUUAGUGAGAAUGUUCGUUCAAUGCAGUUUUUACCCUUGGGGUACUCCUAGGUGAUGAUGGGGUACUGCAUUGAGUGAAGGAAAGCAUUUUUCUACCAAGGACCUUGAGACCUGAACUGUUGGACUUGGAUACUUGUGUAACUUACCGGCUAGUGAGCAAUUUCCGGCCAGAAAAUGAAACGACCGAGCAAGGCAUGUAUUUUUUACAGAGGUAUUUGAAACGAAAACGCUGGUCCAAACAGGCCCUAAAUGUUUCCUUUGAGGUACAUGUAUACUGGGCAUUACCUUGUCCCUCUGGGUAUCAUAGGCGAAUUCUUGGUCCCUUCAGUACGGUAGCGGCAACAGGCUUAGGUCCAAAAGUACUGCAUAUGAUCUUUGUCCUGCAUAUUUUCUCUGCACAGUGGUGCUCGUACAGAUUUUGGAGGAAG